rnacentral:rRNA from 1 species
CGUAGGGACCAAGCGUUGUUCGGAUUUACUGGGCGUAAAGGGCGCGUAGGCGGCAAAUUAAGUCAGCUGUGAAAUCUCCGAGCUUAACUCGGAACGGUCAGCUGAUACUGAUCUGCUAGAGUGCGGAAGGGGCAAUCGGAAUUCUUGGUGUAGCGGUGAAAUGCGUAGAUAUCAAGAGGAACACCUGAGGUGAAGACGGGUUGCUGGGCCGACACUGACGCUGAGUGCGCGAAAGCCAGGGGAGCAAACGGGAUUAGAUACCCCGGUAGUCCUGGCCUUAAACGAUGAAUACUUGGUGUCUGGAGUCUCUAUAGCUCCGGGUGCCGUCGCUAACGUUUUUAGUAUUCCGCCUGGGGAGUACGCACGCAAGUGUG